UACGAAGGGGGCUAGCGUUGUUCGGAAUUACUGGGCGUAAAGCGCACGUAGGCGGACAUUUAAGUCAGGGGUGAAAUCCCAGAGCUCAACUCUGGAACUGCCUUUGAUACUGGGUGUCUUGAGUAUGGAAGAGGUGAGUGGAAUUCCGAGUGUAGAGGUGAAAUUCGUAGAUAUUCGCAAGAACACCAGUGGCGAAGGCGGCUCACUGGCCCGUUACUGACGCUGAGGCACGAAAGCGUGGGGAGCAAACAGG
rnacentral:rRNA from 1 species